rnacentral:rRNA from 1 species
GACAAGCGAGAGAGAGUACGAGGAGGAUGCCUAGGCGCUGAAGGCCGACGAAGGACGCGGAGACCGGCGAAACGUUCAGGGGGAGCUGCAUGCGAGCGAGGAGCCCUGAGAUUCCGAAUGGGGCAACCCCUCCAGAGUGAUGUCUGGAGACCCGCUGCUCAAUGCAUAGGCAGCGGGAGGGCAGCAGGCGAACUGAAACAUCUCAGUAGCCUGACGAGAAGAAAUCAAACGAGAUUCCCGUAGUAGUGGCGAGCGAACCGGGAGGAGCCCAAACCAGCGGUUUUUCGGAACCGCUGGGGUUGUAGGACCAGCACACGCGUGACCCACGCCGACUUGAAGGGGUUGGAAGGCCCCACCACAGCGGGUGAGAGUCCCGUAGAGACAGGCGAUGGCGAGCGCGCUGGUAUCCUGAGUACCACGAACCCCGGUGAGUUUGUGGGAAGCUGGGGGGACCACCCUCCAAGGCUCAACACCUUCAGCGACCGAUAGUGAACUAGUACCGUGAGGGAAAGGUGAAAAGCGCCCCGAAAGGGGGAUGAAACAGACCCUGAAACCACGAGGGCAGCCACAGGGAAACCGAGUGUGAAGAGCGCGACGAACGAGUGGUGGCGAUGAUGCGACCCGAAACCACGUGAGCUAUCCAUGAGCAGAGUGAAGCGACUGUGAAAGGUCGUCGAGGCUCGCACCCACCAGUGUUGCAAAACUGGGGGAGGACUUGUGGAUAGGGGUGAAAUGCCAACCGAACGUGGAGAUAGCUGGUUCUCCCCGAAAUGUA